GAUGAACGCUGGCGGCGUGCCUAAUACAUGCAAGUCGAGCGAACAGACGAGGAGCUUGCUCCUCUUACGUUAGCGGCUGACGGGUGAGUAACACGUGUAUAACCUACCUAUAAGUCUUGUAUAACUUCGUGAAACCGGAGCUAAUACCGGAUAAUAUAUUGAACCGCAUGGUUCAAUAGUGAAAGACGGUUUUGCUGUCACUUAUAGAUGGAUCCGCGCCGCAUUAGCUAGUUGGUAAGGUAACGGCUUACCAAGGCAACGAUGCGUAGCCGACCUGAGAGGGUGAUCGGCCACACUGGAACUGAGACACGGUCCAGACUCCUACGGGAGGCAGCAGUAGGGAAGCUUCCGCAAUGGGCGAAAGCCUGACGGAGCAACGCCGCGUGAGUGAUGAAGGUCUUCGGAUCGUAAAACUCUGUUAUUAGGGAAGAAAAAAUGUGUAAGUAACUAUGCACGUCUUGACGGUAACUAAUCAGAAAGCCACGGCUAACUACGUG
rnacentral:rRNA from 1 species